rnacentral:rRNA from 1 species
UUGGCGGUACUUCAGUCUAGUUAGAGGAGCUUGUUCGGUAAUCGAUAAUCCGCGAAAAAUCUUACGUAUUUUUGUAAUCAGUUUAUAUACCGCCGUUAUUAGAUAAUAUUAAAAAGUAUUAAAUUAUCUAAAUAUAUUUAAAUAUAAUAUAUCAGGUCAAGGUGUAGCUUAUGAGUGCGUCCUGAAUGAGCUACAUUUUAAAAAUAAAUAUGGAUUUUGUUUUAAAAAAAACAAUGA